CCCUUAGAUGUUCUGGGCCGCACGCGCGCUACACUGAUGCAUUCAACGAGCCUAUCCUUGACCGACAGGUCCGGGUAAUCUUUGAAUCUGCAUCGUGACGGGGAUAGAUUAUUGCAAUUAUUAAUCUUCAACGAGGAAUGCCUAGUAGGCGCAAGUCAUCAGCUUGCGUCGAUUACGUCCCUGCCCUUUGUACACACCUCCCGUCGCUCCUACCGAUUGGGUGUGCUGGUGAAAUGUUCGGAUCGGCCGUUUGUCGCGGUUUCCGCGUCAUGUGGCUGAGAAGUUCAUUAAACCCUCCCACCGAGAGGAAGGAGAAGUCGUAACA
rnacentral:rRNA from 1 species